rnacentral:miRNA from 1 species
AAUACAAUAAUUUAACAGUAUAGCCGUGCGGCUAUACGCUAUAAAUAGAAUAUUUUAAACCUAUAGCCGCUUGGCUAUACUCUUUAAAUAGAAUAUU